CUUAAUCUUGGAGAUAUUCUAUUGUCUAUUCAGUGGCGUCAGUGGCAAAAUGGACAGCAAAGAUCCGGAACGUUGAUGUUGUUUGGAUAAAGAGAUCAUCUAUGGCAAAGACUGUGCACUGGGAAAAGCAAAAAUUCCUAAAUUUCCCUCAACGCUCACUUAUUCUUGACAUAAGAACCUGCUGGAAUUCCCUCUACUUGAUGCUGGAACGAUUUCUUGAACAGUACCCUGCUAUUCAAGCAGCCAGCUUGGAUCAGCGUUUGAGAAAACCAAUAGAGAGGGACAAGUAAGAAAGAAGAGUUUGCUAUGAGUGAAUGUAAAGACUUGCUCGGCUGACUGGGGAAGACCUCAGAAAGGGAGAAGAGUUUAUCCAUCUGAUGAGAAUUUCAUGCACAUAUAAACUUUCUUCUGAGAAGAGCCCUACAUGUGGUCAGAUCCUGCAAAUUCUUCAAAAGCAUGAGAAGCACUUCAUAGUUAAAGAGGAAGACACAGUGAACACAGUGAAGACACAGGAGGGGUUAUA